rnacentral:misc_RNA from 1 species
GUUAUGGGAUUGCUUCAAGUAGUAAUUUAUACAGCUGCAUCAAGAUUAGAAUGCCAUGCCCUAUCUGGACCGACAACAGCAAAAUCUGAAAAGCAAACUGUGAAUGAAGCUUCAGGUGAUAUUCAAAAAGAUCCUUCACUCGAACCAGAACCAGAAUCUAGUCAAGAAGAUAAGUUAACCAAUGCUGAGUUAUCCACUGAAGAUGGGAACAGGAGCUUUAGUACAAGCAAUGUAUUCCUCCAUCUGCCAUCACCUGAUUUGCGCAAUCUGUGCUGCCUUCUUGGUCGUGAGGGGUUGUCAGAUAAAGUUUAUAUGCUAGCUGGAGAAGUGCUGAAGAAGUUGGCCUCAGUUGUUGCAUCCCAUCGGAAGUUCUUCAGUUCAGAGC